rnacentral:rRNA from 1 species
AGAAUCAACGCUGGCGGCGUGCCUAACACAUGCAAGUCGCACGAGAAAGGGGAGCAAUCCCUGAGUACAGUGGCGCACGAGUGAGUAACACGUGAAUAAUCUACCUCCGAGUGGGGAAUAACUGAGAGAAAUCUUAGCUAAUACCGCAUAACACUUACGAGUCAAAGCAGCAAUGCGCUUGGAGAGGAGUUCGCGGCCGAUUAGUUAGUUGGCGGGGUAAUGGCCCACCAAGACGAUGAUCGGUA